CCCUUAGAUGUCCGGGGCCGCACGCGCGCUACAAUGGAUGAAUCAACGCGUCAUCCUGGCCCGAAGGGGUUGGGGAACCGCUGAACCUCAUCCGUGGUUGGGAUUGGGGUUUGUAAUUAUUCCCCAUGAACUAGGAAUUCCCAGUAAGCGCGAGUCAUAAGCUCGCGUUGAUUACGUCCCUGCCCUUUGUACACACCGCCCGUCGCUACUACCGAUUGGAUGGUUUAGUGAGAUCCUCGGAUUGGUCACGGCACGGUGGCAACACUGCGUCGGUGUGCCGAGAAGACGAUCAAACUUGAUCAUCUAGAGGAAGUAAAAGUCGUAACA
rnacentral:rRNA from 1 species